ACUCCUACGGGAGGCAGCAGUGGGGAAUAUUGCACAAUGGGGGAAACCCUGAUCCAGCCAUGCCGCGUGCAGGAAGACUGCCCUAUGGGUUGUAAACUGCUUUUGUACAGGAAGAAACACUCCCUCGUGAGGGAGCUUGACGGUACUGUAAGAAUAAGGAUCGGCUAACUCCGUGCCAGCAGCCGCGGUAAUACGGAGGAUCCAAGCGUUAUCCGGAAUCAUUGGGUUUAAAGGGUCCGUAGGUGGAUGAUUAAGUCAGAGGUGAAAUCCUGCAGCUCAACUGUAGAAUUGCCUUUGAUACUGGUUGUCUUGAAUUAUUGUAGAGUAGUUAGAAUAUGUGGUGUAGCGGUGAAAUGCAUAGAUAUCACAUAGAAUACCGAUUGCGAAGGCAGAUUACUAACAAUACAUUGACACUGAUGGACGAAAGCGUGGGGAGCGAACAGGAUUAGAUACCCUGGUAGGCGUAGU
rnacentral:rRNA from 1 species